rnacentral:tRNA from 2 species
GGGUUGCUAGCUCAACUGGUAGAGCACCUGACUCUUAAUCAGAUGGUUCCGAGUUCGAGUCUCGGGCAACCCA